UAGGGAAUCUUCCACAAUGGACGCAAGUCUGAUGGGGCAACGCCGCGUGAGUGAAAGAAGGUUUUCGGACCGUAAAGCUCUGUUGUUGGUGAAGAAGGAUAGAGGUAGUAACUGGCCUUUAUUUGACGGUAAUCAACCAGAAAGUCACGGCUAACUACGUGCCAGCAGCCGCGGUAAUACGUAGGUGGCAAGCGUUGUCCGGAUUUAUUGGGCGUAAAGCGAGCGCAGGCGGA
rnacentral:rRNA from 1 species